UUGGGAGAGUUUCUACAUCUUUGAUGCAAUAAAAUUGAUAAAGAAAGCUAAUGAUAAAAUCGCCUUAAAGAACAUGAAAGGAAUUUGGAAAAAUCUCUGCUCCAAAUUAAUUGACAAUUUUGAAGGAUUUGAUAAUCUUCAUGAAAGUCUUCAAAAUGAAACUGACACGAUUAUAAAUAUUGCAAAGGAAUUUAACUUUAAAAUUUCACCUGAAGAUGUUUAAGAAGCUCAUUAUGUUGACAGUGAUGAAAUCACAAAUGAAGAAUUGCUAGAAAUGGAAAAAUUUGAACGUGAAGAAAAGAAGAAGAAGAAGAAGAAGAAGAAGAAGAAGAAUCGUCUGAAAGAUGCUUCUCUGCAAAAAAGCUAAAUGAAGCAUUACUUCACAUGGAAAAAGCAAUUGAAAUCUUUGAGCAGCAAGAUGCCGAUUUUGAAAGAAGCUCAACUGUUGCUGCAAAUUUAAUGAGAAGUCAUGCUUGUUAUCGUGAAAUCUACCGUAAAAUGAAGAAAACUUUUCAACAAACAACUUUAAAUAAUUUUUUAACGAAGAAAAUUAAUGCGGACCAAACAUCAAAACAAGAAGAAACUUAACUAACGGAAUUGACAUGCGCUCAAGAGGUCCCAGUAGCGGCAGACCUGAUAGAUACGAAUUAAAUUUCACGAGUUGAAUUUUUUGUUUUAUAUGCUUUUCUAUUUUUUCAUUGUGUAGUUUGUGAUUUAAUAAAAA